CAAUAGCGUAUAUUAAAGUUGUUGCAGUUAAAAAGCUCGUAGUUGAAUUUCUGGGCGGCCCGCCGGUCUUCCAUGUGUUGUACUGGGCGGCGCCGGCCAUCCUUGUGGAGAGGGCUCGCAUUUGGUUGCGUGUCGGAUCUGCAUCAUUUACUGUGAAAAAAUUAGAGUGUUUAAAGCAGGCUGUCGCUUGAAUACAUUAGCAUGGAAUAAUAAGAUAGGACUUCGGUCUAUUUUGUUGGUUGCGAACCGAGGUAAUGAUUAAUAGGGAUAGUUGGGGGUAUUCAUAUUUAAUUGUCAGAGGUGAAAUUCUUGGAUUUAUGAAAGAUGAACAACUGCGAAAGCAUUUACCAAGGAAGUUUUCAUUAA
rnacentral:rRNA from 1 species